rnacentral:rRNA from 1 species
GACAGCAGUAGCCACGGGAAAACCGAGGGUGCAAGCGUUAAUCGGAAUUACUGGGCGUAAAGCGCGCGUAGGUGGUUUGUUAAGUUGGAUGUGAAAUCCCCGGGCUCAACCUGGGAACUGCAUCCAAAACUGGCAAGCUAGAGUAUGGUAGAGGGUGGUGGAAUUUCCUGUGUAGCGGUGAAAUGCGUAGAUAUAGGAAGGAACACCAGUGGCGAAGGCGACCACCUGGACUGAUACUGACACUGAGGUGCGAAAGCGUGGGGAGCAAACAGGAUUAGAUACCCCAGUAGUCCCUGUCUCUUAUAC